rnacentral:rRNA from 1 species
UGCAGUCGAGCGGUAACAGAUCCAGCUUGCUGGAUGCUGACGAGCGGCGGACGGGUGAGUAAUGCAUAGGAAUCUGCCCGAUAGUGGGGGAUAACCUGGGGAAACCCAGGCUAAUACCGCAUACGUCCUACGGGAGAAAGGGGGCUUCGGCUCCCGCUAUCGGAUGAGCCUAUGUCGGAUUAGCUAGUUGGUGAGGUAACGGCUCACCAAGGCCACGAUCCGUAGCUGGUCUGAGAGGAUGAUCAGCCACAUCGGGACUGAGACACGGCCCGAACUCCUACGGGAGGCAGCAGUGGGGAAUAUUGGACAAUGGGGGGAACCCUGAUCCAGCCAUGCCGCGUGUGUGAAGAAGGCCCUCGGGUUGUAAAGCACUUUCAGCGAGGAAGAACGCCUAGCGGUUAAUACCCGCUAGGAAAGACAUCACUCGCAGAAGAAGCACCGGCUAACUCCGUGCCAGCAGCCGCGGUAAUACGGAGGGUGCAAGCGUUAAUCGGAAUUACUGGGCGUAAAGCGCGCGUAGGUGGCUUGAUAAGCCGGUUGUGAAAGCCCCGGGCUCAACCUGGGAACGGCAUCCGGAACUGUCAAGCUAGAGUGCAGGAGAGGACGGUAGAAUUCCCGGUGUAGCGGUGAAAUGCGUAGAGAUCGGGAGGAAUACCAGUGGCGAAAGCGGGCCUUCUGGACUGACACUGACACUGAGGUGCGAAAGCGUGGGUAGCAAACAGGAUUAGAUACGCCUGGCUAGUC